AGCGGUUAUGGAGUCGUCCUUGAAAUACCACCCUUGUAUGCUUGAUGUUCUAACGUUGGCCCCUUAUCGGGGUUACGGACAGUGCCUGGUGGGUAGUUUGACUGGGGCGGUCUCCUCCCAAAGAGUAACGGAGGAGCACGAAGGUGGGCUAAUCACGGUCGGACAUCGUGAGGUUAGUGCAAUGGCAUAAGCCCGCUUGACUGCGAGAAUGACAAUUCGAGCAGGUGCGAAAGCAGGUCAUAGUGAUCCGGUGGUUCUGAAUGGAAGGGCCAUCGCUCAACGGAUAAAAGGUACUCCGGGGAUAACAGGCUGAUACCGCCCAAGAGUUCAUAUCGACGGCGGUGUUUGGCACCUCGAUGUCGGCUCAUCACAUCCUGGGGCUGAAGUCGGUCCCAAGGGUAUGGCUGUUCGCCAUUUAAAGUGGUACGCGAGCUGGGUUUAGAACGUCGUGAGACAGUUCGGUCCCUAUCUGCCGUGGGCGUUGGAUGAUUGAGAGGGGCUGCUCCUAGUACGAGAGGACCGGAGUGGACGAACCGCUGGUGUUCGGGUUGUGUCGCCAGACGCAUUGCCCGGUAGCUAAGUUCGGAAUCGAUAACCGCUGAAAGCAUCUAAGCGGGAAGCGAGCCUCAAGAUGAGUCAUCCCUAGACCUUUAAGGUCUCUAAAGGGUUGUUGAAGACUACAACGUUGAUAGGUCGGGUGUGUAAGUGCUGUGAGGCAUUGAGCUAACCGAUACUAAUUGCCCGUGAGGCUUAACCAUACAACACCCAAGGGGUUU
rnacentral:rRNA from 1 species